rnacentral:tRNA from 1 species
GGAGAGAUGGCAGAGCGGUUUAAUGCGGCGGUCUUGAAAACCGUUGUUCUUCACGGAACCGGGGGUUCGAAUCCCUCUCUCUCCG